AUGGCGGCGCCCAAGCCCAUCUGGGUCCGCCAGGCCGAGGAGGCCAAGCUCAAGUCCGAGGCCGACACCGCCGCCGCCGCCAAGGCCGCCUUCGACGCCACCUUCAGGGCCCUCUCCGCGACCGCCCACGCCGACCAGUCCCCCCAGGACGCCGACCCGGAGCGCCACGACCGGCCCUCCUCCCCCGCCGAGCCCUCCUUCCGCCCCGACCCCGAAUCCGACUCCGACGACGACGACCGCCCCGGCGCCCCUCCCGGCCCCGUCGACCCCUCCAAGUCCUCCGCCGCGGGCCCCGGCAUCGCCGGCGGCUCCGCGGGCGCGCCGGCCACCUUCACCGUCGUCGGGAAGGACCGCGACGGGCGCAGGGUCUCCGUAGGCGGCGCCCGCGUCCGCGUCCGCAUCUGCCCCGCGGCUGGCGUCGGCGGCGACGACCUAGAUGGCGGCGUCAGGGACAACGGCGACGGAUCCUACGCCGUCACCUACGCAGUCCCCAAGCGCGGCAACUACAUGGUCCACAUCGACCUCGACGGCUCGCCCAUCAUGGGGAGCCCCUUCCCGGUCUUCUUCAGCGCGGCCACGGCCGCCUCUGCCGCCGCAGCCUUCCCCACCACCUCGUCCGCCUACCCUGCCGCCUCGUCCGGUUACCCCAAUAUGCUCAACCAGACCAUGCCCAACAUGCCAAACUACGCUGGCUCCAUGCCUGGUUCCUUCCCGGGCUUGCUCGGCCUCAUCCCUGGUGCCUCCUCUGGCGCUUCUGGUGGUGUCGUCCUGCCAGGCGUUGGUUCCACGUUGGGUGAGAUAUGCCGGGAGCACAUCAAUGGGAAGUGCACCAAGGGAAUGGACUGCAAGUUCAGCCACCCGCCACAGCAGCUGCUCAUGUCUGUCAUGGCUGCCACUACGUCCAUGGGUGCGCUCAGCCAUGCUCCCAUGGCACCCUCCGCGGCAGCCAUGUCAGCCGCUCAGGCUAUCAUGGCUGCUCAGGCGCUUCAGGCACAUGCUGCUAAGAUGCAAGCUGACUCCAAAGCUGCAGAGCAGGCUUCAUCAGGUAUGACGGAAGCCGAGAAAGCUGAGGCUCUGAAGAAAAUUGUUCAGAUUAGCAACCUGAGCCCAAUUCUUACGGUGGAGACCAUUAAGCAGCUAUUUGGGUACUGUGGCAAAGUUGUUGAUUGUACUAUCACAGACUCGAAACAUAUUGCUUAUGUUGAGUAUUCCAAACCAGAAGAAGCAACCGCGGCAUUGGCCCUCAGUAACGUGGAUGUUGGUGGUCGCCCCUUGAAUGUUGAGAUGGCUAAAUCUCUUCCUCAAAAAACUAGUAUUGCAAAUAGCAAUUUACCUAUGAUGAUGCAGCAAGCUGUUCAGAUGCAACAGAUGCAAUUCCAGCAGUCACUGUUGAUGCAGACGUCAAUAGCCGCUCAGCAGGCCGCUGUACGUGCAGCCACCAUGAAAAAUGCCACUGAUGCAGCAGCUGCACGGGCUGCUGAGAUAAGCAGGAAGUUGAAAGCAGAGGGCUUUGGUGGGGAAAGUGCAGAAGAAAAGGAUGCCAAAGAGAAGUCAAGAUCGCCAUCGCCCCCUUCUCGUAGAUCCAAGUCUCGGUCAAGAUCACCUAUCAAGUACCGUCGGAGUAGGCGGGAUCGCUCUUACUCUCCGCCAGUUAGACGCUCCCGGGAUCACCGAUCACGAUCUCCGUCGAGAUCUCACCACUCAAAGUAUGGCAGUGACCGAUCAUAUAGGGAUGAUAGGGACAAAUAUAGCAGGUCUGGGAGAAGAGAGAGUGACAGGUCUCGUGAUCAUUACUCAUCUAGUUCAAGGAGGAACAGGAGCAGAAGUAUAAGCCCGAGGUCUAAGAAGCCAUCAAGAGCUGAUUCUCGGUCACCGAAGCGGCAAAGGGAAGAAAGUUUAAGCCCAUCAAAAUCAAGAAGGUCAGCUCGGGCUGGUUCAAGGUCACCACGACAUCAUAAAGGGAGCAAGUCAUCACCAGCACGUGAUCAGCGCUCUUCUCGUCAUAGCAGGCAUUCAAGAUCCAGAUCUCAAGAGAGAAAGCACCGUAACAGUGAUAAGAAGGAUGUCAAAAGAUCUGAGGUGCAGGAUGACAAAAAAAGAUCUGAUAGAGGUACUAGAGGUGGCAAAGAUGAAAGGUCUGUGAAGGACGCAGUGGAUAAGAAUGCAGAUAGUUCUGUUGUUCCUCAUAAGAGGAGUUCAUCUGUAUCUGAAGAUGAAUUACUGGAUAUUGACAAUGGCAAUCACAAGAAAUCUAGACAUGAUGCUGCUGGUGCCGUGGAGUAUGACAAGAGGAAGAAUGAAGACAGUAUUGAGGAUGUUGAUUCUCCAAGGUCAAAAUCUGAGAAGAGAAGCUUGGGAGAGGAUGGCGAUAAUAUUCAGAAACAUGACACAACUAGGAGUACCAAGACGAAGACAGAUGGCAAGAAGUAUGACAAAGACGAUUCUUCUCGCAAGGACAGAAAAUACAGAGAAGAUGAAUCAAGACAUUCCAGAGAUAAAAGUUCGCGUCAUUCAUCUUCACGGUCCCAUAGAAGUUCAAGGCAUUCCAGGGAUAAAUAUCAUAGGGAUGGUAUUGACCAGCAUGAGUCGAAGAAAUCAGAAGAGGGCACUCGACCUAGGAAAUACAAUUUCCUUGAUGAUCCCUUGUCUUCAGAUAAAAAGAACCUUCAUAAAGGGAGGUCUCCUGAUAGGAUGGUUAAUCAGUCAGAAGCUGGUUCAGACUCUGAUGGCUUGAAGCAUGACACUGAAGUUAGGCUGCGAAAUGCUUCAUUAGAAGGAGCAGAUCUGGUCAUCCAGGAAGACCAGCGAUUUGCUGAUGAAACUGGUACAAAUAAAUGCUCAGCAGAUGCUCUAUUGCCUGCAUCAAAGCAGAAAGCCGAGGAAGAUAUGUGCUCUACUGUGUCCGACAUUAAUGGGCAACAUGGACUUGAAGGAGAUGGCGCUUUAGGGGGCACCGAAGAGUCUGCCAUGUGA
rnacentral:rRNA from 1 species